GACGAACGCUGGCGGCGUGCUUAACACAUGCAAGUCGAACGGAAAGGCCCUGCUUUUGUGGGGUGCUCGAGUGGCGAACGUGUGAGUAACACGUGAGUAACCUUCCCUUUACUUUGGGAUAACUUCAGGAAACUGGGGCUAAUACCUGAUAGGAGCUCCUGCUGCAUGGUGGGGGUUGGAACGUUUCGGCGGUUGGGGAUGGACUCGCGGCUUAUCAGCUUGUUGGUGGGGUAGUGGCUUACCAAGGCUUUGACGGGUAGCCGGCCUGAGAGGGUGAACGGCCACAUUGGGACUGAGGUACGGCCCAGACUGCAACGGGAGGCAGCAGUGGGGAAUAUUGAACAAUGGGCGGAAGCCUGAUGCAGCAACGCCGCGUGCGGGAUGAAGGCCUUCGGGGUGUAAACCGCUUUCACCUGUGACGAAGCGUGAGUGACGGUAAUGGGUGAAGAAGCACCGGCUAACUACGUG
rnacentral:rRNA from 1 species